AGCGAAAGCCGUGAGUGCGUGUCUGUCAGGGCCGUGUUUUUUCAUAGACGUGCUAUAUAUGAAAGUCCGAGGGAUCCACUUGGUACCCUCAGUUGAUUUACAAACCUCAACUCUCUUGCAGCUCAUUUUAGUUGUUCCUCAUUCUUUCUUCGACCAUGUUUCGAAUGAUGGUUGCUCUUCUCACUCUCAAUCUAAUUUCAACUCAAAUCACAGCUGAUGAUCAGUUUUCUUGUUGCAUGGAUGGAAUGAAGAAACUUCGAGACAUCGACCUCUGCAAAGCUCCUUGUUGUCCAGGCUAUUAUGAGGUCAUUGAACAGCCUCCGCUUCUUUCUUUUGUGGUUUACUGCAAAUCCCUUCCCAAACGAAAAUUGCCCUGGAGCCAUUUGAAACUGGAAUCGGCACAAAAGAAGGCUUCUACCAGGACUUACGGGGAGCCAUUGAAUAGAUACUUCAUUGGAUAAACGUCCAGGGUCCAGAAAAUAAACAACAACAACGAGAUCCUCAUUCUGGCGUUGACGCCCACUGUUCGGCGUAUCCAUUAAUUGAAAUCUUUUAUUUUUCUUUUUAAUCGGGAACAAUAAAAGUGAUGGUAUCAAA